rfam:Pteropus alecto contig8879, whole genome shotgun sequence.
GGUUCUAUAGAGUAGUGGUUAGCAGCACGUCUGCUUUAUACGCAGAAGGUCCUGAGUUCAAGCCCCAGCAGAGCCA